UUCGCAAUGCCCGAAAGGGUGACGAAGCGACGCCGCGUGUGGGAAGAAGGCCUUCGGGUUGUAAACCACUGUCGGGAGUUAAGAAAUGCAAGGAUAUGAAUAGUGUCUUUGCUUGACUAAGGCUCCGGAGGAAGCCACGGCUAACUCUGUGCCAGCAGCCGCGGUAAUACAGAGGCGGCAAGCGUUGUUCGGAAUUAUUGGGCGUAAGGAGCACGUAGGCGGCUAUGUAAGUCGGUUGUGAAAGCCUUCCGCUCAACGGGAGAACAGCAUCCGAUACUACAUGGCUUGAGUGCGGGAGGGGAGAGUGGAACUUCUGGUGGAGCGGUGAAAUGCGUAGAUAUCAGAAGGAACGCCGGCGGCGAAAGCGGCUCUCUGGCCCAUAACUGACGCUGAGUGUGCGAAAGCUAGGGGAGCAAACGGGAUUAGAUACCCCGGUAGUCCUAGCCGUAAACGAUGGGCACUAAGUAGAGGGGUUUU
rnacentral:rRNA from 1 species